UUAAGUUCAGCGGGUAGUCUCACCCGAUUUGAGGUCAAGGUUUUUAAGGUCGAGUGGUGACUCGAACGUUGUCUUCAUUCGAAGACGGUUAGAAGCGGGGCACAGUGCAAAACCCAAGACGUAGAAACGUUACUUAUCACGUCGAGGAUCGGCAAAGCGGACCCCACUAAUUCAUUUGGGAGGAGCUGGCUUCAAGGGAG
rnacentral:misc_RNA from 1 species